rnacentral:rRNA from 1 species
UACGAAGGGGGCUAGCGUUGCUCGGAAUCACUGGGCGUAAAGCGCACGUAGGCGGUCUUUUAAGUCAGGGGUGAAAUCCUGGAGCUCAACUCCAGAACUGCCUUUGAUACUGGGAGACUUGAGUCCGGGAGAGGUGAGUGGAACUGCGAGUGUAGAGGUGAAAUUCGUAGAUAUUCGCAAGAACACCAGUGGCGAAGGCGGCUCACUGGCUCGGUACUGACGCUGAGGUGCGAAAGCGUGGGGAGCAAGCAGG